rnacentral:rRNA from 1 species
UACGGGGGGAGCAAGCGUUGUUCGGAUUUACUGGGCGUAAAGGGCGCGUAGGCGGCCAGCACAAGUCAGUUGUGAAAUCUCCGAGCUUAACUCGGAAAGGUCAACUGAUACUGUGCGGCUAGAGUGCGGAAGGGGCAACUGGAAUUCUUGGUGUAGCGGUGAAAUGCGUAGAUAUCGGGAGGAACACCUGUGGCGAAAGCGGCUCACUGGACCACAACUGACGCUGAGGCGCGAAAGCUAGGGGAGCAAACAGG